UCAGGGCCCUCCUGGUCCAAAAGGUGACAAGGGAGAACAGGGUGAUCAGGGACCUCGGAUGGUGUUUCCUAAAAUCAAUCAUGGGUUUCUCUCUGCUGAUCAGCAGCUCAUUAAACGCCGCCUGAUUAAGG